rnacentral:rRNA from 1 species
AAACUGCGAAUGGCUCAUUAAAUCAGUUAUCGUUUAUUUGAUAGUACCUUACUACUUGGAUAACCGUGGUAAUUCUAGAGCUAAUACAUGCUAAAAACCCCGACUUCGGGAGGGGUGUAUUUAUUAGAUAAAAAACCAAUGCCCUUCGGGGCUCCUUGGUGAAUCAUAAUAACUUAACGGAUCGCAUGGCCUUGCGCCGGCGACGGUUCAUUCAAAUUUCUGCCCUAUCAACUUUCGAUUGUAGGGUAUUGGCCUACAAUGGUAUCAACGGGUAACGGGGAAUUAGGGUUCGAUUCCGGAGAGGGAGCCUGAGAAACGGCUACCACAUCCAAGGAAGGCAGCAGGCGCGCAAAUUACCCAAUCCCGACACGGGGAGGUAGUGACAAUAAAUACUGAUACAGGGCUCUUUUGGGUCUUGUAAUUGGAAUGAGUACAAUUUAAAUCCCUUAACGAGGAACAAUUGGAGGGCAAGUCUGGUGCCAGCAGCCGCGGUAAUUCCAGCUCCAAUAGCGUAUAUUAAAGUUGUUGCAGUUAAAAAGCUCGUAGUUGAACCUUGGGCCUGGCUGGCCGGUCCGCCUCACCGCGUGCACUGGUCCGGCCGGGCCUUUCCUUCUGGAGAACCGCAUGCCCUUCACUGGGUGUGUCGGGGAACCAGGACUUUUACUGUGAAAAAAUUAGAGUGUUCAAAGCAGGCCUUUGCUCGAAUACAUUAGCAUGGAAUAAUAGAAUAGGACGUGCGGUCCUAUUUUGUUGGUUUCUAGGACCGCCGUAAUGAUUAAUAGGGAUAGUCGGGGGCAUCAGUAUUCAAUUGUCAGAGGUGAAAUUCUUGGAUUUAUUGAAGACUAACUACUGCGAAAGCAUUUGCCAAGGAUGUUUUCAUUAAUCAGUGAACGAAAGUUAGGGGAUCGAAGACGAUCAGAUACCGUCGUAGUCUUAACCGUAAACUAUGCCGACUAGGGAUCGGGCGAUGUUAUUAUUUUGACUCGCUCGGCACCUUACGAGAAAUCAAAGUUUUUGGGUUCU